CCUUCUAGACUUUUAACGAUGAAACAAGAUUAUUUGACUUUCCAAUUCAAAUCAAUAAAAACUAUCAUUUUGUUCGUUUGUCAGACGUGUAUUGUUCAGUUAAUUUCCAAGUAGACAAUCCUCAGAAGAAAAAUUAUUAUGAUCUCGUCAAAACAAAAAUCGCGCGCCUUUGAGUUUGCCUUCGACUUUCAAAUGCUCCCAGUAUAAAUUUAGGCCAGCAAAAACUAGUUCCACACUUGUCCAGAGUGUUGUUCUUGUAAAUUAGCCACAAAAUAUCCACAUGAAAUUCCCUUGCCGAUCGAGAUCACGAGUUGUUUUAAUACAACAACAAAUGUUGCGAAGGUUUGAAGAUACCCGCCAUUGAACGUUUUGAAAAUUAGUUCGAAAA